rnacentral:lncRNA from 1 species
GCCGGGCGCCUGGAGUUGGCCUCUGGCUGGGUCCGCUCUGAUGCCUCCGUUCGAGCGGCGCUGGUCCAGGCCGUGACGGCCUGCGAUGAGGAGAAGCAGGCCAUCCUCCAAGCUAAGGUUGCUCGCGACGCCGCCUUGGGUGAGGCUGCGGAUGUCCGGGGCCGCUGCAAGGCGCUGGAGAGCGAGCUGCAAGGCCUGCGCGACGAGCUCGCCAAGGAGGUCCGUGACCGCCAGGAGAAGGAGAAGGAGAGGAAGACUCGAGAUGCUCCUGUCAGGGACCAGGACGCCGAGCUUGAUGAACGUCGUGGUCGGUUGGAGACGCUGGAACAGGCGUUGGAGGCGGAGAGGAUCAAGCUGGACAGCAAGGCGAGGGUCCUGGCCGAGGACCGUGUGGCCUUCGCGCAGCUGGAGAAGAGGGCUCGCGCCUCGCUGAAGACACUUUAUGAUGGCGGCCUGGAAAAGCCGCUAGCUGGCGCCGAGGAUGGCCCCGCCAAGUUGCUUCCCUUCCUGGUCCGCGCACUUGAAGAUGUCACGGACGGCCUUGGCCCCACAGCCAAGGCCGAGGCACGUGUUCUUUCUUCUGCAGCGCUGGCGCGUGUCUUCACCCACGUCCAUCUUCACGACCCCAAUAUCGAUCUUGACAGCCUGCAAGCGGCAAGCUUGCCGCUGCCGCUGCUGAGGCAGUGAAGGGUCAAGCGGAAGCCCUGCUGGCGAGGUUCCGCGCCUUCAGCACCAGGCCAAGGUGAGCUGCUGCCAACCCUGGGGCUUCGGGAGGUGGAGCCGCCCAGCGUAACUCCACCACCAGCGAUGGCACCGCCGGAAAGUGACCCCUCCGCGGCUUCUAUCCUGUUUUAGUUCCUGCAACAUGCAUCAUGCCUCGUGGAGGCGUUUAAACUUGUGUUUGGCGUUGUGAAAACAACCUAUGGACUGUAAUAUUUGCUUUUGAAUUCCUUGAGAUUUGCGCUUUUCCUUCCUACUUGCUUGUCUUCUAUGUCGGCAGGGCCCGGCCCCGCGCAUACCUCAGCCGCCGUUAGCCCCGACCGGAAACCAGGACGGGACCAAGGAGUGAGGGGCUAUGUGACCAGUUAGGCUCCUGAGUCGCGAUGCUUAGGAGUCUCCCUUGACGCGCGAACAACAAGUAGGAAGGGGAGGCAUAGAAGUGGAUCUACCGUUCUACGUCGGCAGGGCCCGGCCCCGCGCAUACCUCAACCGCCAUUAGCCCCGACCGGAAACCAGGAUAGGACCAAGGAGUGAGGGGCUACGUGACCAGUUAGGCUCCUGGGUCGCGAUGCUCAGGAGUCCCCCUUGACGUUCAAACGGCCUUCGUACCUUAGCUCCGCUCAGGGAAGGGCGCGCGACGAACCAGGCCCGAGGGGCCUGGCUGGGUGGUGUGCGCUCGGGCGUGGCCCGGGCGCAGCCCCCGUGUCCAGCCCCCUCGCGUGGCACUCCCGAGGGGAGGCGUUACGAUAGGGCUGGAUACUGAGCUCUGGGCUCCCUGAGGUUGAUGCGGUCGUGGGCCACCCUUAGUUGUUUAUCACCAGCGCGGAGCAUAGUGCUUCUAUAUGUGUACGGGCAUAGCCGCUCCUCGGCAGUGUCGUCGGCCAGCACGGAGCAUGGUGCUUCCACUGGUGCGUGGGAGGGGGCUCCCCUCCGGGAGGAGCCCCCAGGGCGUGUACAGCCCUGCCCUGACACGUGGCUGGCACGGUAGGGCUUGACGACGUGUAUCUGGGCACCCGUGAGCCAGCGCGGGACUCACGGGGCCCUACCUCAAGGCGGGUUGCGCCUGGCACUGGGCCUUUGUUUGUAAUGUGCUCCUGCAAAUUUGGUUAGAUGCCGACGCUCUACGUCCUCAGGUCCCGGGCCUCGAGCGAGCUCAGCCGUCGCUGGUAUGCCAGGUCGCGAUGCCGUGGACAAGGCCAGGAGGUGAGGGCUGGAGAGCUAGUAAGAGUCCAUGAGUCGCGAUGCUCAGGUACCCCCCCUUUUAACAUGCAAGCGGUUGGCAUGAGGGAGGGCGCCAUCACAGACAUCAAGUAAUAAUCAUGGCUGGUCAAAUGCACGACCUGAAUAGAUGCGAGAAAGAUACAUGCCACUGGGUCAGGCCCGAGUAGCUUGGGGAUAAUGCAGCCCGAGGGGCGCCCCCAACAAAGUAACCUAAAGGCAUGAACAAAAGAGAUACAUGCCGCAGGAACGGACCCACGCGGCCUAGGAAUGAUGCAGCCCUGGGGGCCCUCCCAGCUGAAAAUGAAACUUGAAGGGUGUCACCUGAUGAAGUUGGAGAUGAGGGAAUGCUGAAGUAGCGGACGUCGCGCGCUGCGGAAGCCGGUCCUCACGAGCCCCUAGGCCCAGGAGCCUCGGGAGGCUCCAGGGGCGCAGGCGGCUCUUCAAGGGCCAUCUCCAUCUCUGCCAGGACUGCGGAAUGCCUGACCUCCUGAGCCUCCAGAAUUCUCCUCAGCAGGCGCUGGUGAGCGGCAACUGCGUUCGGUAGGCUGAAAGGCAUGUGAACGUAGCUGUGAGAUGGACCCUCACAAUGCCCCACGCGCGAAGGCCAUAGGCGCUCUUGAGAUGCGGCUCGGUUGAGCCCUGGUACGUCGAUGCAGACGCGCAGCCCACCAUCCUCGCCUGGAUGGGGAGCUACCGCGGGUAAGCAGCGGCUGCCACUCAUGACUCUUGACUCCUGCAGCUCCUGAAUGCUUCUCGCGAUGAACUCCCGAGGGUUUGGCCCUCCUUGCCUCGCUCUUUCCUGAGGGAAACGUGCUUUGAAGCACGCCUCCAAGUGGUGCCCGAGCGCCUCCCUCAUGACCUUGGCAAAGUUGGUCGCCCUCCAGGAGAGAGCCCUCGAGCCUUGCCCGAGGAGGGCGCCGGGCGCGCCUUCCUAUGCGGCAGAAGGAGGCGCCCCUUGAUCGGGCGCGGAUCCUGACACAACACCAUUGGAGGGGCCUGCCUCCUAAGGGUUCGGACCGGGUGAUGCCUUCUUCUUCUUAGGGACUGCCUCGGGAAGUCUCCUGCCCCUGUGAUCUGGGUCUUCGAUUGCUGCGGCUUGAAAAGCACGUUCAAGAGAACACACUGCAUCCCUCUCCUCACAAGGCACCAUGAUGAAUCCACCACUUCCUGGCAUCUUGAGGACAUUGUAGCCAUGAUGAGUCACUGCCAUGAACUUGGCCAGAGUUGGGUACCCAAGGAUGGCAUUGUAUGGCAGGCGAAUGUGGGCGACAUUGAAGUCGAUAAGCUCGGUGCGGUAGUUGUUGCGCUGCCCAAAGGUGACAGGAAGGCGAACUUGCCCUAUUGGAACGGUGGAACCAUCAGUGACUCCUGCGAAGGGCUUGGUCGGCUGAAGCUGAUCGUAUGGCACUUAGAGAUUGUCGAAUGUCUCGACGGACAGGACGUUGAGUUCCGCUCCGCCAUCGAUGAGGGUCCUGGUGACUUGCACAUUGUUGAUGACUGGCGAGCAAAGCAUCGGGAGGGCUCCGGCCGUGGCUGCGCACUUGAGCUGAUCCGCGGAGUUGAACAUGAUAGCGCACGCUGACCACCUGAUAGGGCGCGUGGCCUCAAGCUUGGGGAGGACUGCAUUCACCUCGCGAGCAAACUGUUUGAUGAUGUGCUGAGAGGCUGGGGCCUGAGCGCCGCCUAGGAUGCAAGCGAUUGCGCGUGGCUCCUGGAAGCCCCCAGCCCCUUCGUCCUGAUGAUGGUCUUCAUUCCUCCUCGGCGGUGGUGGCAGAGGAGGGAGGCCUGCGUUGCCCUGAGGGUGAUCCUCACGAGGCUGAUCCCUCCAGCCUCCCUCACGAGGCUGGUCCUGCCAGCGGUCCUCGCGAGGUCGGUCACGCCACCCCUGGCGAGGGCCACGGUCUUCCCUUCGUCCUCCACCUCUUCCUCCUCCUCGUCCAUAGCCCCGGUCGUUGCACUCGGGGCGUCGGCCGAUACGCCCAUCUCGCACAGCCCUGAGCUCUCGGCAUUCAUUGGUGUUGUGGGUGUGGAGAUCGUGGUACACACAGUACCGGCUGCCCUUGGAUGACUCAGGCUGAUCCCUACCUCGCUUGGUGUCUGGCUCUGCUGCAAGCACAGCAGCCCCCUUGCGCUUCAUGUCCUUGACCUUGGGCUUCUUUUCUUCUGGAUCGGCGGCCGGAAGCUCGAGGAGGGAGAGGCGCCCUUCCUCAGCUCUGGCGCACUUGGUCACCAAGUUGAACAGCUCCAGGGAUGUGCACAUGUCUUCAUGGAUUGCUAACUCCUCCUUCAUCUUGAUGUCACGCAUGCCGUCAGAGAAGGCUGAGAUGAUGGCUUCCUCAGUCACCCUGGGGAUCUUGAGGCGAGCGUUGUUGAAACACUGGAUGUACUUCUGUAGGGUCUCUUCUAGCUAUUGCUUGAUGCGGCAAAGGUCGCUCAUGGCCGGGGGCCGGUCACGAGUGCCUUGGAAGUAGGCGAUGAAGCGAGUGCGCAUCUCGUCCCAAGAGGAAAUCGUGCCAGGAGCCAGGUUCAGGAACUAGGUGCGGGCACCGUCCUUGAGCGCCAUGGGAAACCAGUUCGCCAUGACCUUCGCGUCCCUAUUGGCGGCUUCAAUGCCCAGCUUGUAGAGCUGGAGGAACUCCGCAGGGUCAGCCGUGCCAUCGUAGCAUGGAGGCAGAUCGGGCUUGAACUUUCCCGGCCAAGCUAUGCUGCGCAGCUCGGAGGUGAAGGCACGAUAGCCCGAAGUGGUACAGGAGGCCUUUGGUGGCGAAGGGCUUGAUCUUGGAGAUCUCCGCGCGUUGCCGUCAGGAGCAGCGCGGGGUCUUGGCACGCUGGAGCAGGAGCGUGGUCAUGACGUGCCGGUGUAGGGAGCACGCGGGCAGCUUCUUGGGGACGAGGGAUCUCUUGGCAGCUCUUCUCCUGCUGUACGGUCGCUGGACGGAGCGGGUCACAUCCAGGGGCCGCACGCCUUGGGGCUAGGACGCCUUCUUGGUGAGGAGGUGGCGGAGGCACCUCCUGAUCCGCGCCUCCUAUGCAGGGUGGAGGGCGAGGCAGCGAGAGAGGGGGCAUAGGAGAGCCCCCUGCAGCGUUGACGAGCUCGGUGAUGCGGGCGAGCCAGUCCUCGUAGAGGUCAUCGACGGGACGGUAGUGCAGGAGCUCUCGCGCCAGGAGCAGCGCCGCGUGCGCGUAUGUGGGGGCGCGACGGACGUGAGACGACGAACCGGCUGGAGUCAGCGACGGGGUGGCGGUACGGCCUUCUUGCCGCACCGAAGGAUGCAGGGAUGAAGCCUGCUGCUCGUUCCCCGCCGGGCCAGUGGCGGCGUUGGCGACAGGCGACGGGGAACGACGGGGGCGUCUGCCGACGAGCGUCGUCUGGGCGACGCGGGUGGCGAGAGCAGCCCGGCGCUCGGCGCGGGCUUAAGAGCGUCAGACAUGGAUGCGAUGGACGGCGAAACGCAAGACGGCGAAAGGCGUGAUUCCGACACACCCCUACCUAGCGCGCCAAAUGUCGGAUAUCGGGUUCUGGCAGACCCUUAAGGUUCGAACUCUAGGGUGCGCAUGGAGAUCACUCCCCCUACCGGCUCAUGUCUCGUCGCCUCGCAAAGGAUCUAGGCUACAUGAAGAACAACACAAGGGACGCAGGGUUUAUACUGGUUCAGGACACCAUUGUGGUGUAAUACCCUACUCCAGUGUGUGGUGUGUGGAUUGCCUCAGGGGCUGAUGAUGAACAAUACAAGGGAAGAACAACCUCGCGAGGGGAGGAGUUCUUGUGUUGGUGUGGUGGUUCUGGCUAGGGUUCGAAUGGUUGAUCUCCUCUCUGUCUGUCUGUCUGUUUGCCUUGAGGGCGGCUAGUCCUAUUUAUAGAGCAAGGCCCUGGUCCUCUUCCCAAAUAUUGAGCGGGAAGGGCGCCAACAAUUGGUCAUUUUGAAGGGGAACAUCUAGUACACUUAUCCUGACUAAAGUGGUCCUCGCCUGCCAAAGGCUCUGACGAUGAUGCCUUCCUGGGCUCCAGGAUGACCUCCAUCCUGCCGUCCUGCUGGUCUUGGUCUUGUUGCACCGAAACGGUAACCUUUUCCUGAUGCCUUGGCCUGUGCUUGCCCCAUUUGCACCGAAGGGGAAACAAGGACACUGCCCAGGCUGGCCCGCCUGGCACCCGCCUGGCUUCGGUCGUCAUGGCUUGCGUCACGGGCACCUCGUGAGGUACCCCGCCUUGAUCUCUCCGCCUCCUCGUGAGCCAGCCUGACGAGGCUGUUCCUACGGAAGCUUCCUGUCGUCCGCCCCGCGAGGCUUGGCCCCUCGCGAGGGUCUUGAGCUUGUGUUGACGAAGAUGGGCCAUACUGGGCCACUCCUUGAGCCACGCUGCAGGCCGCAGGCAGGCAAGUCUGGGUACCCCUGUUUCCAGAAUGCCGACAGCCGCCCUGCUCACCUCCGCCUCUUUUUUGGCUUGGGUGAGGGCGGUCUUGAGGGACUCGACCACGGCUGCGCCAACUAUGAGUAUAAUCAUAAAACUCGGUAAAUUUUAAGAAUCGUGCACAUAUUACUUCGGGUAUGUACAAGUGGCGCAUACCUUGAGUUUCGUCAAACCGCUUGUUGACGCGGUCGAGCUCCUCAUCGGCUAGCCGAAGCUUCCGGUUGAGCUCGAAAACCUCUACGGCUUGGGUAGUAGCCGCUAGCAUAGAUGUCAGUCCAACAAGAUAGUACGAUACAUUAUCAGCUUAUUUUGAUCCUCCAUCCGGAUUGUUCUAAUCCGGACAGAGUCUGAGGGGCUAUUGUCUAUACAUAGGUUCAACCUUGCACAUAAAAAAACUUGCAAGAGAAUUACAUCCCAUACCUCAAAGCCCGUCAGUAGGCUGUUGAAGGCCUAGUUCAGUCUGCUCUUCGCGGACCGAACCUUUUCCAUAACCACACCCAUCAGGGUGCGGUGCUCCUCCAUGAUGGAAGCACGUUGUAGUGCUUCCUCCAGAGUAUCAGCGGCCCCUGGAUUAACAGAGGCCGCUGAUGGAGCUGCUGCUCCUCCUUCUCUGUGGAAGGGGGUGUUGGUCCGAACCCGGAUCCACAUUGGUCUCCGGGGUGGUGUUCGGUGAGGGCCCAAACUGUUGAGGCCCCGCACCCUCAAUGGUCAUGGGGGUCGUCGUGCCCCGCUCUACGGCAUCCGAGAUGUUACCCUCGUGCGCCUUCUGGAUGGCCUCGUCCGCCCCUCCUCGGCUAGGAGAAGUCCUUUGGGACUACACCUCGGUGUCCUCCAUGGCAGGGGGAGAAGGCUCACGAUGGUCCGUUGCUUGAUGUCUUCUAUGCAACCUUCUCCUUGUAGACGUUGUUGGGCCUCCAAGUGCAGAGGUUUGUAGGACAGUAGCAAAUUUUCCUCAAGUGGAUGACCUAAGGUUUAUCAAUCUGUGGGAGGCGUAGGAUGAAGAUGGUCUCUCUCAAGCAACCCUGCAACCAAAUAACAAAGAGCCUCUUGUGUCCCCAACACACCCAAUACAAUGGUGAAUUGUAUAGGUGCACUAGUUCGGCGAAGAGAUGGUGAUACAGGUGCAAUAUGGAUGGUAGAUAUAGGUUUUUGUAAUCUGAAAUUAUAAAAAUAGCAAGGUAACUAAUGAUAAAAGUGAGCACAAACAGUAUUGCAAUGCUUCGAAACAAGGCCUAGGGUUCAUACUUUCACUAGUGCAAGUUCUCUCAACAAUAAUAACAUAACUAGAUCAUAUAACUAUCCCUGAACAUGCAACAAAGAGUCACUCCAAAGUCACUAAUAGUGGAGAACAAACGAAGAGAUUAUUGUAGGGUACGAAACCACCUCAAAGUUAUCCUUUCUGAUCGAUCUAUUCAAGAGUCCGUAGUAAAAUAACACGAAGCUAUUCUUUCCAUUCGAUCAAUCAUAGAGUUCGUACUAGAAUAACACCUUAAGACACAAAUCAACCAAAACCCUAAUGUCACCUAGAUACUCCAAUGUCACCUCAAGUAUCCGUGGGAAUGAUUAUAUGAUACGCAUCACACAAUCUCAGAUUCAUCUAUUCAACCAACACAAAGUACUUCAAAGAGUGCCCCAAAGUUUCUACCAGAGAGUUGCCAACCCCUAUGCAUAAGUUCAUUGAACCCGCAAGUUAAUCACCAAAACACACAUCAAGUAGAUCACGUGAAUAUCCCAUUGUCACCACAGAUAAGCACGGCACGACAUACAUCAAGUGUUCUCAAAUCCUUAAAGACUCAAUCCGAUAAGUUAACUUCAAAGGGGAAACUCAAUCCAUCACAAGAGAGUAGAGGGGGAGAAACAUCAUAAGAUCCAACUAUAAUAGCAAAUCUCGCGAUACAUCAAGAUCGUAUCACCUCAAGAACACGAGAGAGAGAGAGUGAGAUCAAACACAUAGCUACUGGUACAUACCCUCAGCCCUGAGGGUGAACUACUCCCUCCUCAUCAUGGAGAGCGUCGGGAUGAUGAAGAUGGCCACCGGUGAGGGAUCCCCCCUCCGGCAGGGUGCCGAAACAGGGUCCCGAUUGGUUUUUGGUGGCUACAGAGGCUUGUGGCGGCGGAACUCCUGAUCUAUUCUGCUACUCGAUGUUUUAGGGUAUAUGGACAUAUAUAGGCAAAAGAAGUCGGUCAGGGGAGACACGAGGGGCCCACGAGGGUGGGGGGCAUGCCCAGCGGGGUAGGGUGCGCCUCCCUGCCUCGUGGCUUCCUCGUUGCUUCCCUUACGUGCACUCCAAGUCUCCUGGAUUGCUUCCGUUCCAAAAAUAACUCUCCCGAAGGUUUCAUUCCGUUUGGACUCCGUUUGAUAUUCCUUUUCUUUGAAACACUGAAAUAGGCAAGAAAACAACAAUUUGGGCUGGGCCUCCGGUUAAUAGGUUAGUCCCAAAAAUAAUAUAAAAGUCUAUAAUAAAGCCCAUAAACAUCCAAAACAGAUAAUAUAAUAGCAUGAAUGCUUCAUAAAUUAUAGAUAUGUUGGAUACGUAUCAGCAUCCCCAAGCUUAAUUCCUGCUCGUCCUCGAGUAAGUAAAUGAUAAAAGAAAUAAUUUAUGAAGUGUGAAUGCUAGCAGGUGCAUAAGUUUGAUCAAUGAUAAUUUCAAUCACCUUUUCUAGUGUCAUUAUAUGUCAUAGGCCAAAGUGAGUAGGGAUGCGGAGUAGAGCCUCGCACACGAUGAUAAACGCCGAGAUGUGGAGGAAAGAGUUCGGGGCUAGAUCAUGGAAAUCUUACCCGUAAUAGAACAUUAGUCCUUGGACGAAGGGGUGGAGUAGAAAACCUAACCCUCUAAGGAAAUGGGGGAGGAAGACAACCCUUUCACCGGGCUCCGGAGUGGGGAUGAUAUGACCCUUGGGGGGAGCCUGUGCGUGAUGGUUGCGGCUAGGUAUCCCACACUUCGGAGAUCCUUUAUCUCCUUCUCCAUGAUGGAGGAGGCCUCCCACUUGCCCUUGGAACCAGAUCCGGCCAUGGUCGGAGGAGGCGGUGGUGGUGAGGAAGACGAAAACUUUUCGGGCGCUGAGAGCUUGGGAGAUUGGAAGGCUGAGGAGAUUGGAAGGUGUGGGGGAGAAAGGAGAAAUACAUUGCCCUAUUAUAAGCGGUAAAAAUGCCAACCGUCCCCCACUUAUGCCUUGCAACUCCCAUAUUCCCAACAAAAGCGUGCGCCAUAAACGGUUGGAUUACCCAAAUUUUAUUGGUGAGCAAUCCCGUAAUAAGUGGGCACGAUCUUUGUUUUGACAGGACGGGCCAAUGGGCCUUGGCCUCGAAACACAGAACGCGGGGUGUGAAAACGUUUCAAAAUGUUGAAGGGUCAAGUCUGACGCUUCGCCGAAAAAGUUGUCAGUAAAGACAUUGUUCCUAUUUUUAUAUAUCCUGCCUUCGCGGCUAAGGGUUGUGUUAAUUAUGCAAGGCCGAAUACAGUUCUUUUAUGGAGGAAAGCGGACGUAUAUUGUUUAGGGAACCCGCCUCGCAAUGCCGAAGAUAAUCUCCGCACCGAACACAUUGUCAUUGAAGACUGGUUCAAGGGCUACUAAGGGAGUCCUGGACUAAGGGUUCAUCGGGCGUCCGGUCUAUUGGAUAUGGGCCAGACUGAUGGGCCGUCAAGAUACAAGGUAGAAUACUACCUCUCGUGUCCGGUAGGGACUCUUGUAUACGUGGAUGGCAAGUUUAGGUGUCCGGAUAUACUAUUUCCUUUCUGUUAAACCGACUUUGUACAACCCUAAGCCCCUCCGAUAUCUAGAUAAACCGGAGGGUUAGAUCGAAGGCAGGACCAAAACAUUGAUAGGCUAGCCAAGCUAGGGUUUAGCCAUUACAAUCUCGAGGUAGAUCAACUCUUGUAACCCCUAUACUCAUCGAAUAUAAUCAAGCAGGAGUAGGGGUUCACCUCCAUUAAGAGGGCCCAAACCUGGGAAAACACUGUGUCCUUUUGAUCGUAGUUACUGUCGAUCCUCAGACAUACAGCUUGGGCCUCCCGACCUGAGAUCUGCCGAUUUUGAUACCGACAAUGGGGAUUACAAAGUUGAUCUACCACGAGAUCAGAUAAAUUAAAUCCUAGACUAGUAGGAUGGUGAUUGUUGUCUUAGCCUCUACGGACUAAACCCUCUGGUUUAUAUAGACACAAGGGGUACUAGGGUUUACAUAUAGUCAGUUACAUCAAGGGAAUGUCGGAUCUUCCAUCUUGCCUUGGAGCAUGCUACUUCUUGAGCUUGCAUUGGUUUUUCUCUUGAAGAGGAAAGGGUGAUGCAACAAAGUAGAGAUAAGUAUUUCCCUCAGUUUUGAGAACCAAGGUAUCAUUCCAGUAGGAGGUACGAACAUGUCCCUAAUCUAUGCACCUGCACAAAAAAUCAAACACUUGCACCCAACACGAUAAAGGGGUUGUCAAUCCCUUCACGGUCACUUGCAAGGAUGAGAUCUGAUAGAGAUAGAUAUAAAAGAUUACUAAAACGUAAAACAAAGUAAAAAUAAAUAAAUUACAGCAAGAUAUUUUGUGUUUUUUGUUUUAUAGAUCUAAAAAUAUAUGAUAGUAAGUAGACCCGGAGGCCAUCGGUUUCACUAGAGGCUUCUCCCUUGAAAGAAAACAUGCGGUGGGUGAACAAACUACUGUCGAGCAAUUGAUAGAAAGUGCAAACUUAUGACGAUAUCCAAGGCAAUGAUUAUGAAUAUAGGCAUCACGUCUGUGUCAAGUAGACCGAAACAAUUCUGCAUCUAGUACUAUUACUACAUACAUUGAUCGCUAUCCAACAUGCAUCUAGAGUAUUAAGUUCAUCAGGACGGAGUAACGCUUUAAAUAUGAUGACAUGAUGUAGAGGGAUAAACUCAAGCAAUAUGACAUAAACCCCAUCUUUUACCCUUGAUGGCAACAAUACAAUACGUGCCUCGCUACCCCUACUUUGUCACUGGGUGAGGACACCGCAAGAUUGAACCCAAAACUAAGCACCUCUCCCAUUGCAAGAAGAAUCAAUCUAGAUGGCCAAACUAAACCAAUAAUUCGAAGAGAAAUACAAAGAUAUCAAAUCAAGCAUAUACGAAUUUAGAGAAGAUUCAAAUAAUAUUCGUAGGUAAUCUGAUCAUAAAUCCACAAUUCAUCUGAUCUCGACAAACACACCGCAAAACAAAUUACAUCGGAUAGAACUCCAAGAACAUCAAGGAGAACAUGGUAUUGAAGAUCAUAAAGAGAGAAGAAGCCAUCUAGCUACUAGCUAUCGACCCAUAGGUCUGUGGUAAACUAAUCACGCUUCAUCGAUAGGGGAAUAGAGUUGAUGUAGAUUCCCUCCGUGAUUGAAUCCCCCUUUGGCAGGGUGUCGGAAAAGUCCCCAGAUGGGAUCUCACCGGAACAGAGGCUUGUGGUAGAGGAAAACUAUUUUCUUGGAUGCUUUUGAUGUUGGGGGAAUAUUUGAGGAUUUAUAGAGCUGAGAGGGAGGUCGAUGGACUCCCGGGGAGGCACAAGCUAGCCCCCCCCCUAGGGCGCGCCUCUAGGGCUUGUGGAGCCCUCGGGACUCUUCUGACUUGGCCUCCAAGUUCCGUGGAUGUCUUCUGGUCCAUGAAAAAUCAUCAGGAAAGUUUUAUUCCGUUUGGACUCCGUUUGAUAUUCCUUUUUUGCAAAACACAAAAACAAGGAAAAAACAGAAACUGACACUGGGCUCUAGGUUAAUAGGUUAGUCCCAAAAAUAAUAUAAAAUAGCAUAUCAAUGCAUAUAAAACAGCCAAAACAGAUAAUAUAAUAGCAUGGAAUAAUCAAAAAUUAUAGAUACGUUGGAGAUGUAUCACAACACUGAAGGAAAUAUGCCCUAGAGUCAAUAAUAAAGUUAUUAUUUAUUUCCUCAUAUCAUGAUAAAUGUUUAUUAUUCAUGCUAGAAUUGUAUUCACCGGAAACAUGAUACAUGUGUGAAUACAUAGACAAACAUAUAGUCACUAGUAUGCCUCUAAUUGACUAGCUCAUUAAUCAAAGAUGGUUAUGUUUCCUAACCAUAGACAUGUGUUGUCAUUUGAUUAAUGGGAUCACAUCAUUAGGAGAAUGAUGUGAUUGACAUGACCCAUUCCGUUAGCCUAGCACUUGAUCGUUUAGUAUAUUGCUAUUGCUUUCUUCAUGACUUAUACAUGUUCCUGUAACUAUGAGAUUAUGCAACUCCCGUUUACCGGAGGAACACUUUGGGUGCUACCAAACGUCACAACAUAACUGGGUGAUUAUAAAGGAGUACUACAGCUGUCUCCAAAGGUACAUGUUGGUUUGGCGUAUUUCGAGAUUAGGUUUUGUCACUCCAAUUGUCGGAGAGGUAUCUCUGGGCCCUCUCGGUAAUGCACAUCACUAUAAGCCUUGCAAGCAAUGUAGCUAAUGAGUUAGUUACGGAAUGAUGAAUUACGUAACGAGUAAAGAGACUUGCCGGUAACGAGAUUGAACUAGGUAUUAGAUACUGACGAUCGAAUCUCGGGCAAGUAACAUGUCGAUGACAAAGGGAACAACGUAUGUUGUUAUGCGGUUUGACCGAUAAAGAUCUUCGUAGAAUAUGUAGGAGCCAAUAUGAGCAUCCAGGUUCCGCUAUUGGUUAUUGACCGAGAAUAGUUCUAGGUCAUGUCUACAUAGUUCUCGAACCCGUAGGGUCUGCACGCUUAACGUUACGAUGAUAGUUUUAUUAUGAGUUUAUAUAUUUUGAUGUACCUAAGGUUGUUCGGAGUCCCGGAUGUGAUCCAGGACAUGACGAGGAGUCUCGAAAUGGUCGAGACAUAAAGAUUGAUAUAUUGGAAGCCUAUAUUUGGAUAUCGGAAUCGUUCCGGGAGAAACCGAGAUUUUUCCGGAGUACCGGGGGGUUACCGGAACCCCCCCGGGGGUUAUUGGGCCUACAUGGGCCAUGAGGGAGAAGAGGAGGGCCGGCCAGGGCAGGCUGCGCGCCCCCUCCCUCCCUAGUCCGAAUAGGACAAGGAGGGGGGCGGCGCCCCCCCUUUCCUCUUUCCCCUCCCCCCUUUCCUUCUCCACCAAGGCAAGAGGGGGGAGUCCUACUCCCGGUGGGAGUAGGACUCCUCCAGGCGCACCCCUUGGGGCCGGCCGCACCUCCCCCUCCCUCCUUUAUAUACGGGGGCAGGGGGAACCCUAGAACACACAAGUUGAUCUACGUGAUCGUUCCUUAGCCAUGUGCGGUGCCCCCCUCCACCAUAUUCCACCUCGGUCAUAUCGUCGCGGAGUUUAGGCGAAGCCCUGCGCCGGUAGAACAUCAUCAUCGUCACCACGCCGUCGUGCUGACGGAACUCAUCCCCGACACUUUGCUGGAUCGGAGUCCGGGGAUCGUCAUCGAGCUGAACGUGUGCUGAACUCGGAGGUGCCGUACGUUCGGUACUUGGAUCGGUCGGAUCGUGAAGACGUACGACUGCAUCAACCGCGUUGUCAUAACGCUUCCGCUUACGGUCUAUAAGGGAACGUGGACAUUACGCUCCCCUCUCGUUGCUAUGCAUCACCAUGAUCUUGCGUGUGCGUAGGAAUUUUUUUUGAAAUUACUACGUUCCCCAACAGUGGCAUCCGAGCCAGGAUUUAUGCGUAGAUGUUAUAUGCACGAGUAGAACACAAGUGAGUUGUGGGCGAUACAAGUCAUACUGCUUACCAGCAUGUCAUACUUUGGCUCAGCGGUAUUGUGAGAUGAAGCAGCCCGGACCGACAUUACGCGUACGCUUACGCGAGACUGGUUUCACUGUUACGAGCAUUCGUGCUUAAAGGUGACUGGCGGGUGUCUGUCUCUCUCACUUUAGCUGAACCGAGUGUGGCUACGCCCGGUCCUUGCGAAGGUUAAAACAGCAUUAACUUGACGAUCUAUCGUUGUGGUUUUGAUGCGUCUGUAAGAACUGUUCUUGCUAAAGCCCGUAGCAGCCACGUAAAAUUUGCAACAACAAAGUAGAGGACGUCUAACUUGUUUUUGCAGGGCAUGUUGUGAUGUGAUAUGGUCAAGACGUGAUGCUAUAUUUUAUUGUAUGAGAUGAUCAUGUUUUGUAACCGAAGUUAUCGGCAACUUGCAGGAGCCAUAUGGUUGUUGCUUUAUUGUAUGAAAUGCAAACGCCCUGUAAUUGCUUUACUUUAUCACUAAGCGGUAGCGAUAGUCGUAGAAGCAAUAGAUGGCGUAACGACAACGAUGCUAUGAUGGAGAUCAAGGUGUCGCGCCGAUGAUGAUGGUGAUCACGACGGUGCUUCGAAGAUGGAGAUCACAAGCACAAGAUGAUGAUGGCCAUAUCAUAUCACUUAUAUUGAUUGCAUGUGAUGUUUAUCCUUUAUGCAUCUUAUCUUGCUUUGAUUGACGGUAGCAUUUUAAGAUGAUCUCUCACUAAAUUAUCAAGAAGUGUUCUCCCUGAGUAUGCACCGUUGCGAAAGUUCUUCGUGCUGAGACACCACGUGAUGAUCGGGUGUGAUAGGCUCUACGUUCAAAUACAACGGAUGAAAAACAGUUGCGCACGCGGAAUACUCAGAUUAUACUUGACGAGCCAAGCAUAUACAGAUAUGGCCUCGGAACACAGAGACCGAAAGGUCGAGCGUGAAUCAUAUAGUAGAUAUGAUCAACAUAAUGUUGUUCACCGAUGAAACUACUCCAUCUCACGUCAUGAUCGGACAUGGUUUAGUUGAUUUGGAUCACGUGAUCACUUAGAGGAUUAGAGGGAUGUCUAUCUAAGUGGGAGUUCUUAAGUAAUAUGAUUAAUUGAACUUAAAUUUAUCAUGAACUUAGUACCUAAUAGUAUUUUGCUUGUCUAUGUUUGUUGUAGAUAGAUGGCUCGUGUUGUUGUUCCGUUGAAUUUUAAUGCGUUCCUUGAGAAAGCAAAGUUGAAAGAUGAUGGCAGCAAUUACACGGACUAGGUCCGUAACCUGAGGAUUAUCCUCAUUGCUGCACAGAAGAAUUACGUCCUGGAAGCACCGUUGGGUGCCAGGCCUGCUGCUGAUGCAACUGACGACGUUAAGAACGUCUGGCAGAGCAAAGUUGAUGACUACUCGAUAGUUCAGUGUGCCAUGCUUUACGGCUUAGAACCGGGUCUUCAACGACGUUUUGAGCGUCAUGGAGCAUAUGAGAUGUUCCAGGAGUUGAAGUUAAUAUUUCAAGAAAAUGCCCGGAUUGAGAGAUAUGAAGUCUCCAAUAAGUUCUAUAGCUGCAAGAUGGAGGAGAAUAGUUCUGUCAGUGAACACAUACUCAAAAUGUUUGGGUAUAAUAAUCACUUGAUUCAACUAGGAGUUAAUCUUCCUGAUGAUAGUGUCAUUGACAGAAUUCUUCAAUCACUGCCACCAAGCUACAAGAGCUUCGUGAUGAACUAUAAUAUGCAAGGGAUGGACAAGACUAUUCCCAAGCUCUUCGCAAUGCUAAAAGCCGCGGAGGUAGAAAUCAAGAAGGAGCAUCAAGUGUUGAUGGUUAACAAGACCACCAGUUUCAAGAAAAAGGGCAAAGGGAAGAAGAAGGGGAACUUCAAGAAGAACAGCAAACAAGUUGCUGCUCAAGAGAAGAAACCCAAGUCUCGACCUAAGCCUGAGACUGAGUGCUUCUACUGCAAGCAGACUAGACACUGGAAGCGGAACUGCCCCAAGUAUUUGGCGGAUAAGAAGGAUGGCAAAGUGAACAAAGGUAUAUGUGAUAUACAUGUUAUUGAUGUGUACCUUACUAAUGCUCGCAGUAGUACCUGCUAUUUGAUACUGGUUCUGUUGCUAAUAUUUGCAACUCGAAACAGGGACUACGGAUUAAGCGAAGAUUGGCUAAGGACGAGGUGACGAUGCGCGUGGGAAAUGGUUCCAAAGUCGAUGUGAUCGCGGUCGGCACGCUACCUCUACAUCUACCAUCGGGAUUAGUUUUAGACCUAAAUAAUUGUUAUUUGGUGCCAGCGUUGAGCAUGAACAUUAUAUCUGGAUCUUGUUUGAUGCGAGACGGUUAUUCAUUUAAGUCAGAGAAUAAUGGUUGUUCUAUUAAUAUGAGUAAUAUCUUUUAUGAUCAUGCACCCUUGAAGAGUGGUCUAUUUUUAUUGAAUCUCGAUAGUAGUGAUACACAUAUUCAUAGUGUUGAAACCAAAAGAUGCAAAGUUGAUAAUGAUAGUGCAACUUAUUUGUGGCACUGCCGUUUAGGUCAUAUCGGUGUAAAGCGCAUGAAGAAACUCCAUACUGAUGGGCUUUUGGAAUCACUUGAUUAUGAAUCACUUGGUACUUGCGAACCGUGCCUCAUGGGCAAGAUGACUAAAACGCCGUUCUCCGGAACUAUGGAGCGAGCAACUGAUUUGUUGGAAAUCAUACAUACUGAUGUUUGUGGUCCAAUGAAUGUUGAGGCUCGCGGCGGGUAUCGUUAUUUUCUCACAUUCACAGAUGAUUUGAGAAGAUAUGGGUAUAUCUACUUAAUGAAACACAAGUCUGAAACAUUUGAAAAGUUCAAAGAAUUUCAGAGUGAAGUGGAAAAUCAUCGUAACAAGAAAAUAAAAUUUCUAUGAUCUGAUCGUGGAGGAGAAUAUUUGAAUUACGAGUUUGAUUUACAUUUGAAACAAUGCGGAAUAGUUUCACAACUCACGCCACCCGGAACACCACAACGAAAUGGUGUGUCCGAACGUCGUAAUCGUACUUUACUAGAUAUGGUGCGAUCUAUGAUGUCUCUUACUGAUUUACCGCUAUGGUUUUAGGGUUAUGCUUUGGAGACGGCCGCAUUCACGUUAAAUAGGGCACCAUCAAAAUCCGUUGAGAUGACGCCUCAUGAACUGUGGUUUGGCAAGAAACCAAAGUUGUCGUUUCUUAAAGUUUGGGGUUGCGAUGCUUAUGUGAAGAAACUUCAACCAGAUAAGCUCGAACCCAAAUCGGAUAAAUGUGUCUUCAUAGGAUACCCAACAGAGACUGUUGGGUACACCUUCUAUCACAGAUCUGAAGGCAAGAUUUUCGUUGCAAAAUUCAGAUCCUUUCUAGAGAAGGAGUUUCGCUCGAAAGAAGUGAGUGGGAGGAAAGUAGAACUUGAUGAGGUAACUGUACCUGCUCCCUUAUUGGAAAGUGGUUCAUCACAAGAACCGGUUCCUGUGACAACUACACCAAUCAGUGAGGAAGCUAAUGAUAUUGAUCAUGAAACUUCAGAUCAAGUUUCUACUGAACCUCGUAGGUCUACCAGAGUAAGAUCCGCACCAGAGUGGUACGGUAAUCCUAUUCUGGAAGUCAUGUUACUUGACCAUGAUGAACCUACGAACUAUGAGGAAGCGAUGAUGAGCCCAGAUUCCGUAAAAUUGCAAGAGGCCAUGAAAUCUGAGAUGGGAUCCAUGUAUGAGAACAAAGUAUGGACUUUGGUUGACUUGCCCGAUGAUCGGCAAGCCAUUGAGAAUAAAUGGAUUUUUAAGAAGAAGACUGACGCUGAUGGUAAUGUAACUAUCUAUAAAGCUCGACUUGUUGCAAAAGGUUUUUGACAAGUUCAAGGGGUUUACUACAAUGAGACUUUCUCACCCGUAGCGAUGCUUAAGUCUGUCCGAAUCAUGUUAGCAAUUGCUGCAUUUUAUGAUUAUGAAAUUUGGCAAAUGGAUGUCAAAACUGCAUUCUUGAAUGGAUUUCUGGAAGAAGAGUUCUAUAUGAUGCAACCAAAAGGUUUUGUUGAUCCAAAAGGUGCUAACAAAGUGUGCAAGCUCCAGCGAUCCAUUUAUGGACUGGUGCAAGCAUCUCGGAGUUGGAAUAAACGCUUUGAUAGUGUGAUCAAAGCAUAUGGUUUUAUACAGACUUUUGGAGAAGCCUGUAUUUACAAGAAAGUGAGUGGGAGCUCUGUAGCAUUUCUGAUAUUAUAUGUAGAUGACAUAUUAUUAAUUGGAAAUGAUAUAGAAUUUCUGGAUAGCAUAAAGGGAUACUUGAAUAAAAGUUUUUCUAUGAAAGACCUCGGUGAAGCUGCUUAUAUAUUGGGCAUCAAGAUUUAUAGAGAUAGAUCAAGACGCUUAAUUGGACUUUCACAAAGCACAUACCUUGAAAAAGUUUUGAAAAAGUUCAAAAUGGAUCAGGCAAAGAAAGGGUUCUUGCCCGUACUACAAGGUGUGAAGUUGAGUCAAACUCAAUGCCCGACCACAGCAGAAGAUAGAGAGAAAAUGAAAGAUGUUCCCUAUGCUUCAGCCAUAGGCUCUAUCAUGUAUGCAAUGCUGUGUACCAGACCUGACGUGUGCUUAGCAAUAAGCUUGGCAGGAAGGUACCAAAGUAAUCUAGGAGUGGAUCACUGGACAGCGGUCAAGAACAUCCUGAAAUACCUGAAAAGGACUAAGGAUAUGUUUCUCGUAUAUGGAUGUGACAAAGUGCUAGUCGUAAAUGGUUAUGUCGAUGCAAGCUUUGACACUGAUCCGGACGAUUCUAAAUCGCAAACCGGAUACGUGUUUUUAUUAAACGGUGGAGCUGUAAGUUGGUGCAGUUCUAAACAAAGCGUUGUGGCGGGAUCUACAUGUGAAGCGGAGUACAUAGCUUCUUCGGGAGCAGCAAAUGAAGGAGUCUGGAUGAACGAGUUCAUUUCCGAUCUAGGUGUCAUACCUAGUGCAUCGGGACCAAUGAAGAUCUUCUGUGACAAUACUGGUGCAAUUGCCUCGGCAAAGGAAUCCAGAUUUCACAAGAGGACCAAGCACAUCAAGAGACGCUUCAAUUCCAUCCGGGAUCAAGUCCAGGUGGGAGACAUAGAGAUUUGCAAGAUACAUACGGAUCUAAAUGUUGCACACCCAUUGACUAAGCCUCUUCCACGAGCAAAACAUGAUCAGCACCAAGACUCCAUGGGUGUUAGAAUCAUUACUGUGUAAUCUAGAUUAUUGACUCUAGUGCAAGUGGGAGACUGAAGGAAAUAUGCCCUAGAGGCAAUAAUAAAGUUAUUAUUUAUUUCCUCAUAUCAUGAUAAAUGUUUAUUAUUCAUGCUAGAAUUGUAUUAACCGGAAACAUGAUACAUGUGUGAAUACAUAGACAAACAUAUAGUCACUAGUAUGCCUCUACUUGACUAGCUCAUUAAUCAAAGAUGGUUAUGUUUCCUAACCAUAGACAUGUGUUGUCAUUUGAUUAAUGGGAUCACAUCAUUAGGAGAAUGAUGUGAUUGACAUGACCCAUUCCGUUAGCCUAGCACUUGAUCAUUUAGUAUAUUUCUAUUGCUUUCUUCAUGACUUAUACAUGUUCCUGUAACUAUGAGAUUAUGCAACUCCCGUUUACCGGAGGAACACUUUGGGUGCUACCAAACGUCACAACAUAACUGGGUGAUUAUAAAGGAGUACUACAGGUGUCUCCAAAGGUACAUGUUGGGUUGGCGUAUUUCGAGAUUAGGUUUUGUCACUCCGAUUGUCGGAGAGGUAUCUCUGGGCCCUCCCGGUAAUGCGCAUCACUAUAAGCCUUGCAAGCACUAUAGCUAAUGAGUUAGUUACGGAAUGAUGCAUUACGUAACGAGUAAAGAGACUUGCCGGUAACGAGAUUGAACUAGGUAUUAGAUACCGAUGAUCGAAUCUCAGGCAAGUAACAUGCCGAUGACAAAGGGAACAACGUAUGUUGUUAUGCGGUUUGACCGAUAAAGAUCUUCGUAGAAUAUGUAGGAGCCAAUAUGAGCAUCCAGGUUCCGCUAUUGGUUAUUGACCGAGAAUAGUUCUAGGUCAUGUCUACAUAGUUCUCGAACCCAUAGGGUCCGCACGCUUAAUGUUACGAUGACAGUUUUAUUAAGCGUUUAUAUAUUUUGAUGUACCGAAGGUUGUUCGGAGUCCCGGAUGUGAUCCAGGACAUGACGAGGAGUCUCGAAAUGGUCGAUACAUAAAGAUUGAUAUAUUGGAAGCCUAUAUUUGGAUAUCAGAAUCGUUCCGAGAGAAACCGAGAUUUUUCCGGAGUACCGGGGGGUUACCGGAACCCCCCCCCCCCGGCGGGUUAUUGGGCCUACAUGGGACGUGAGGGAGAAGAGGAGGGCCAGCCAGGGCAGGCCGCGCGCCCCCUCCCCCCUAGUCCGAAUAGGACAAGGAGGGGGGGCAGCGCCCCCCCUUUCCUCUUUCCCCUCCCCCCUUUCCUUCUCCACCAAGGCAAGAGGGGGGAGUCCUACUCCCGGUGGGAGUAGGACUCCUCCAGGCGCACCCCUUGGGGNNNNNNNNNNNNNNNNNNNNNNNNNNNNNNNNNNNNNNNNNNNNNNNNNNNNNNNNNNNNNNNNNNNNNNNNNNNNNNNNNNNNNNNNNNNNNNNNNNNNNNNNNNNNNNNNNNNNNNNNNNNNNNNNNNNNNNNNNNNNNNNNNNNNNNNNNNNNNNNNNNNNNNNNNNNNNNNNNNNNNNNNNNNNNNNNNNNNNNNNNNNNNNNNNNNNNNNNNNNNNNNNNNNNNNNNNNNNNNNNNNNNNNNNNGGCGCCCCCCUUUCCUCUUUCCCCUCCCCCCUUUCCUUCUCCACCAAGGCAAGAGGGGGGAGUCCUACUCCCGGUGGGAGUAGGACUCCUCCAGGCGCACCCCUUGGGGGCCGGCCGCACCUCCCCCUCCCUCCUUUAUAUACGGGGGCAGGGGGGCACCCUAGAACACACAAGUUGAUCUACGUGAUCGUUCCUUAGACGUGUGCGGUGCCCCCCUCCACCAUAUUCCACCUCGGUCAUAUCAUUGCGGAGUUUAGGUGAAGCCCUGCGCCGGUAGAACAUCAUCGUCGUCACCACGCCGUCGUGCUGACGGAACUCAUCCCCGACACUUUGCUGGAUCAAAGUCCGGGGAUCGUCAUCGAGCUAAACGUGUGCUGAACUCGGAGGUGCCGUACGUUCGGUACUUGGAUCGGUCGGAUCGUGAAGACGUACGACUGCAUCAACCGCGUUGUCAUAACGCUUCCGCUUACGGUUUACAAGGGUACAUGGACAUUACUCUCCCCUCUUGUUGCUAUGCAUCACCAUGAUCUUGCGUGUGCAUAGGAAUUUUUUUUGAAAUUACUACGUUCCCCAACAAACACACACCAAGGCACAAAAGGUCUUCGGUCCGGAUACAGUGCGGCCCAAUAGUCCGACCCAUGAGAGAUAGGUCGGCAACCCGAGGACCCCCGAGUCCAUGACUCCCUCAACGGGGUCGACGCAACUACCUACCUGAGUCAGAGGAGGAUGAGAGCCUCGGAGCCGAGGACUAUAUAGUCCCCAAAGACCCGUUUGAGCAAGAGUGGUUCAGACGGUGGCUGAUGGCAACCACUAGAAGCAUGAAAAAGAAGCAGCAAAAGCUGUACGCCGAUCAAAACAAGCUCAACGACAAAUGGGUGGAAGUUCUCGUAACUGAGAGAGACCUUGAAUAACAGCGUGACAGCGCAUCCAAAUCCUACCCACACCGGCAUUUGCUGUUGUAAUUCGAUGAUGAGGAAACACCGCAACAGACAACAUGAUUUUGACGUGUGGUCGUGCCGACCAGCCUGGCCACAUCCUAGAGGACAUGAUAGGCCAGCAGGGGAGUAUAGGAACCCCCAAUGAUCAAUCCGCCAUUAUGGCAAGGACCCUGUCAACUACCCCAAGCCCUAUAAUGCACGAAGAAGGCUAGACGCAAAUCGAGCCCCUCCGCAAUCAAUCUAUGGGUCAAGGGGCACGCGCCAGCAGGACUCGACGGCUACGAGGCCUAGUUAGACAGAAACGAUAGAUUUUGCGAACAAGCUUAUGCACGGAUGUCUCUCGACGUCCAGCAUAAUAUAUCUCGAUUUCGAGGGCCUCUUAUCGAAUCUACUUCAUAGUUGAGGUGAUGGAACAUCAGUUCCUGGAUGGGUUUAAACCCAUAAACAUCGAAUAGUAUGAUGGGACGACCGGUCCAACCGCGUGGAUUGAAGAUUUCCUCCUCCAAAUCCACAUGGCUUAUGGAGACGAUCUCCAUGCCAUUAAAUACCUGCCGGUCAAACUUAAGGGACCAGCAAGGCAUUAGCCUAAUGGCCCACCUCCUCACUCCAUCGGGACCUAGGAGGCUCUCGAGGAUGCCUUUAGGGCAAACUUUUAGGGCACUUACAUUUGACUCUAUGUGCCAAUGACCUCAGCUACGUCAUUCAAUAGCCUGGCUAUUCAACCCGAAAAUUUUGGAAUCGAUUCUUGACUAAAAAGAACCAGAUAGUCGACUGCCUUGAUGCAGAGGCAAUUGUCGCCUUCCGCAUAGCAUCCGGGACGAGUGGCACACACAAUAGCUCGGGCAGGACAAGCCGAGGACCAGCUUUUGCAUGGGAGAAGACAAUUAGCUGGCUCACAGUUCCCGCGAUGGCGAGGUUGGCACCCGACGAGUCUAAUUUAUGUGGUGUUUUUACUAAGUAUUUUGUGCCUAUGGAGUAUGCUUUGUGGAAUUUUACUGCGUCCCCGCACUUCUUUUUGUUGAUAAUCCCUCAGGUAAUGUCUUUUGGAUCAGUUGCUAGUGUUAAUUUGUGGCGAGGUGGUCUCUUCAAGGCCGUUGACAUCUUCAUCCAUGUCUGUGGCCUCGUCAUAAUCUAACACAUCGGUUAAAUCAUCGAUCGUGGCGACUAGGUGGGUGGUGGGUGGGACGUAAAUUUCCCAGUCAUCGGCUUUAAGUCCGAUUCUGUCGUAAGUCGAGGUUCUGCUGUCCGAGAUCGACAAACUUUGGAUCCGGUCAAGCUUCUCAUUAAGGUGAGAUAACUCCUCGGGAUUCAUGUCCUAGUCGUAGGCCGGGUUAACUCGAAGUAGCAUCAGCAGGACGGCCAAUGCAUCUCGGACCGCGCCAGGAGCCAGAGUGGAUUCUAGAUCUAUGAUCGGGAUCGGUUCUAAGCCCAAUACCGGAUUCGAAGCCGAGCUCUGAUUUAAGUUGGAGCUGGGUGCUAUGAUGGAGUUGUCUGAGGUGGAAGAGGGUAGCCCCUCCACGCCUCGUGGUGUUGGAGGGCCUGAUGCGUCGUCCUCAAGAGAAGUCGGUUCCGAAAUCAAGCUUGUGAUGCUCGUCAAGCCGUGAAUCCGGCCAGGCGUCCAGCCCGACAGGACAAGCUCGCCGUGGGAAUCCAUGGUGUACUCCAAUCUCGACGGUGGCCAGAUGGCCUGUCGAGUCGGCGUAGAAAAUCAUGCUACCGAACACAAAAAAUGACCGAGGGCUGGCGGUGUCCUAGACUAGGGGGUACUCAGCACGUCGCCUCCCGACCAGGUGGGUUGGGCCGAGGACCCCCAUGGAGGUACACUAAUGUACUCCUUCGGGCAGCUCAUGAUGUAUACAAGGAGGAUUCCACAAGACUUGGUGCCCAAGACGAGGACUCCUCCAAAUCCUAGGCCUCCGGUAUAUUAUAUAAGCCGAGGCCAGGCUAGUCAAUAGAUCAUCUUAGAAUCAUAUACAACAAUCUAGUGGUAGAUAAUUGUACUCUGUACUAUCCUCAUAUCAAUACAAUUAAGAGAAGGACGUAGGGUAUUAUCUCCUCGAGAGAGCCCGAACCUGGGUAAAAUCCAGUGUCCAUGUUACCAUUGCUCCAAGACGCUAAGCUUAGGACUCCUACCUCGAGAUAUCCCGAAUUUAGCACCGACAUUGGUGGCCCAUGGAGGUCCCUGCUAUAGUUGCCAUGAUGCGAUGGGUAUUCAUAUCAGCUCCGGCGCGAUCUAUGCAUCGGAGCCGAGCUUUAUGGUCGACGUCAGCAUCUUCGUUGUCGGCUCGACUGGUCACCUCAGCUUGACCGAGAACUGCGCUCCAUGUUGGAUCAUCAAGAUCGAAUGAGCGUCGUCAUCUACUUCAACUCCGAUCUCUAUCAAGAUCAUGGAAGAUUCAUCCAUGGAUCUCGGGGGCUCAACGUCAACAUUGCCCUCGCGUAACCAUGUAGGUUUUUUUUUCUGGAUAGCAGAUUCGUGCCCGCCGUCCCCGCCUCCUCGAGUGUUGUUUAGAUGAAUCCUUUGGUAUAAUUGCGUGGAAGUGAGUCUAUAAUGAACCUACAAAAAUUCGUCGUGUUCCGAUGGAGGAAUCUCCGGUGAUCUACGAUAUACCGGAGCCCUGUCAAAUCUGGAAGUGAAUCUGGAGGAGUUUAGGGCCAUGAGUCCGCAAUCAGCUCGGGCAUCAUUUGGAAGAUCCAACCGUCCAUCUGCUGCGGAAUUCCUAUAUCAACCACCUCUCAAAAUUUCAAAUCAAUCUGACCGUUCAAACUCUAUGAACGGCCUAAGGACUGCGUCAAUUUUUGGAUCUGUUUUCUACGUGAAAACGAAUCCGACCCGAGUUCAUCUUUCUCGAUGAACAUGAAAUUAGACAUCCUUUCUAAAGGAAGUUUUUUUCUUGGGUAUUGUGUGUUUUUCUUAAACAUGUGCCUACAAAAUUUGUGCCUUUUACGAGGCAAUCUCCACCGUCAUGCCGGCAUUAAACCGGCCCGACCUCGUUGCUCCACGGAUGCCGAACUAGGCUAGACGGGUCGUCCCUCCGUCAAGCUGUCGUCAACCACAUCAGAUCAUCACCUCGGCGAGUCGACCAAGAGUUCGGCAUCGCAAAGGCCAAAUAAUUGUCAAGACAACAUCGUCGCCCGACGGGUUGCACGGAUCAUGAGCGGGAGGAUUGACCCGCGGUCAAUUCAUCAAGCCAGCAUUGACCAGUUCCGACCUAUGUCGGCAUCGCCACGCCGUUGCUUCUUCAAGACGAUACCCACCACGCUGACCUGCUUCGACACCUCGGCUGGCAUGGGGGCUGCAACGUCACCUUACCGACCUGCUCCAUCACCUUGGCUAGACUGGGGGCUUCGCCAUCGCUUCAUCGACAUACGCCGAGGACUUUGGCGUCGCUAGCCAACCAACUUCGUCACGUCAGCUGGACCGGGGGUUUUGCCUCACCAUAUCAAUUGUGCGGCGUCGCCACUUCGUCAAGCCGAGCUCUUUGCCCGAGCACCUCGGGACCGGCUUGAGGGCUGGGACCUCGAUCUGCCACAAGCUCGGCCCACAUCAGCAACGCCAAGCACAUUAAUCAGCUAAAUCACUUCCAUGCUCAACUUUUUUUGUUCAGUUCAUCCAAGCAUUAUAUUUGUGUUAAACAAAAAGUUGUCAAAAACUUUGUUUGUUAAAAACACUUCUUUUUCCCGUGUUAACUGUGGCCUCUUAAAUUUUUAUGAGCCAUUUUUAUAAUAAAUGUGCUUUCUUCUAAGUCAUUGGAAAGUCUUUUUCUACUACUCAUUUUUCCGACACGGGUGUGUGGGCAAUAGCCGGAUAGCCUAGUUUCUCUCUAAAGCCGCUCGAGUUUAGUUUGCUAAACUAGCCCGAGAAGCAUUCUGCCUUCGGGAUAGGAGGUUGAAGCCGAAGGCUGACCCGCUUGAAGUUUCGAGAUCGAAUGUAUCAUGUUAAAGCACGACGGAAGCACAAACUAAUCUUAAGACCCAUUUUCGGAUUGGCACCAAAAAUUUGUUUAGUUCGGACGUGAAGUUUUUACUAAAGUUUUUUGGUUUAGCGAGAUUAUGUCACCUUUAACCUAUUUUAUGUUUCCCUUUCAGGAGGCGAGAAAUCCUCUUGAUCAACGUGUUUUGCGUGAUAUUUUUGCUCGCGAAAUAUUUUCUGACCCGGAGUUCGGCAUCCUUCCCGCCGAGCUGCACCUCGGCGUUGUCAAAACAUACACCACAGUUGAACUAGUUCCCGAGGAGAUACGAUCCUAGGGUCAUCCAUGUUGCCCAACCCAAGUCUCCGGGGUUAUUGCAUUGGCGAUUCAAUGCAGAAAAUUUAAGUGCAAAAUAGUUUUCUAGAAGAUUACAAUUCUCAGGUUGGUCGGUUGCACCCAACCUGAGCCUCCAGGACUAUGCACACCGUGUUUCCGAGGAAAAAGUGCUGGAAUUUUGUCUAUUUUGGGCCUAGCCCAAUAGCAGUUUCGGAAAUUCCUAAUAAAUCCUAGAGGCCCACGCAGCCCAUUCGUGCAAGGCAAGAGGUGGAACUAAAGUUUAGUCCCACAUUGCUAGUUUAGAGGGAGUUGGACCUCUUUAUAAGGGAGGCUCCUUCCCCACUUGUAUGAGCAUGAGAACAAGAGGGACAUCCACGCGCGCUCCUCCUCUGCCGCCCGCCUCGCCACGCCACGCCUCGUCACGACGCGCCACGGGUUGCGGGUUGCGGGAAUGAGCCGAGCCGAUGUAAAUUUUUGCCAUGCACUACGGGUAUACGAAAGGGCACGCGAAAGCUGAAACGCUUUGCUGUAGUGGAGAUUGAAUACGAACGGUGCACCUCUUCGCAUGCUGCCUGUUCGUUUCGUCUCCCUCGUUCUCUUCAGCUCCCAGCGCAGCCUCUCACCUCCUUCUCUUGCGCCUAUAAAAGGGAGGUCGCUCCUCCCAGAGAGACGCACCAGAAUCUCUUCCUCCUCUCGCCACAAGUUCCUGAGCACUGCGCCGCUGCUACGUUCUUCCCCAUCCCGGCUUGCGGCGUGCACCGCAGGUCGGAACAGUAGGCCUCCGAAACCGCACCUUUUGAGUCAUGUACAGAGAAGGGUGAUAAGGUUUUUGGGGAGCGCUCUGCGCGACUACUGACUUCUUCGUCACGGACGCCCCGGACUCCGACGACUACUUCCCCGACGACGACUACUUCCCCGAUGUCGACUACCUCCUCGACGACAUGGAGGACACCGACCCCAAGUCCAGUGCCUCUGCCCCGGCUGCUGUCCAGUACGUGUUCUUAUCUUUCAUGUUAGAAGUCCUGCAAUAGUUCCUUCUUCUAAUGUUUGAAGUAGACAUGUUAUGCUCUACUUCAUAUAUGCAUCUUCAUCUACUAUCUGCUCUAGAGUUGAUUGGUUCUAGCUCAUAUAUGCAAAUAUUAUUUACUUUCUCUUUUUAAAAUCACAUGGCUUGUUUUAUCACUGCUAUACUAGUCAUGCUUUAUCUAGUAUUUCUGUUAAUAAAAUCAUUCGGUAAAUUGCUCAUAUUUCCAACAAUCCAAAAACCUUAUUAUAGGCAAUUUUUGACCUCCUAUGUUUGAGGGUAUCCACUAUAAGAGGUGGCGCGUGAGAGCAGUCUUAUGGUUUCAAACCACGAGUUGCUAUGACGCCACUCUUGGCAAACCCGAAGGAGAGCAAGAUGCCCAAUAGGCACAAGCUUUUCAGAAAAUGGAUACCUUGUUUAAGGCUGCUCUCUUGAGUGUUCUUGGUGAGAACAUUGUUGAUGCUUAUGCGUCAAUUGACAAUGGAAAAGACAUGUGGGACGCACUCGAGGCCAAGUUUGGGGUCUCGGAUGCCGGCACUGAGCUGUACAUCAUGGAGCAAUUCUAUGAUUACAGGAUGACUGAAGAGCGCUCCGUGGUUGAGCAGGCUCAUGAGAUACAGUCAUUUGCUAGAGAACUUGAGCACUUCAAUUGUAUCUUACCGGACAAGUUUGUUGCCGGGGGUAUCAUCACUAAGCUUCCUCCUUCGUGUAGGAACUUUGCUACCUUACUGAAGCAUAAGAGACAUGAGUUUUCCGUCCCGGAUCUCACUGGUACUCUUGAUGUGGAAGAAAAGGCGAGAGCAAAGGACACACGUGCUAGAGGUAUUGAGGGAUGAUCUAGAGCCAAUCUGGUACAGAAGAAAAACUUCCAGUCCCACAAGUUCAAGAACAAGGGCAAGUUUGAUGGUAAAGAAAAGUUCGAUGGGAAGAACAAGGCUGUGCAGCACACAAACUUCAAGAAGAAGAAUGACAAGAAGAAAGGUGCUUGUCAUGUGUGUGGAGAUCCUGAUCAUUGGGCUCCUAGUUGUCCUAAUCGCUAUGACAAGCGUCAUCUUGGGAAAGGCGGCAAGACCGCUAAUGUUGUCAUCGGAGACAUUGACAUGAAGGACGCUGGGUAUGGUAUAUUUCCCACUAUUCUUUCAGUAUGUCAUUCUCCUAAUUGGUUGAUUGACACGGGUGCUAAUGUGCAUGUAUGCGGUGAUAUUUCCAUGUUUUCGUCUUAUCAGACCGCAGGGACUUCAACCGUGCUGAUGGGCAAUGGUUCAAGUGCUUCUGUUCAUGGUAUUGGCACGGUCGAUCUAAAGUUUACUUCGGGGAAGAUCGUGCGGCUGAAGAACGUGCAUUAUGUCCCCUCCGUCAAUAAAAAUCUUGUUAGCGGAUCUCUUCUGUGUACAGAUGGCUAUAAGCUUGUCUUUGAGUCGAAUAAAUUUGUAAUAUCCAAGUAUGGAACCUUUGUUGGUAAAGGCUAUGAGUCAGGAGGCCUAUUUCGUUUAUCCUUAUCAGAUGUUUGCAAUAAAGUUGUUAAUCAUAUUUGCAACAAUAGUGAAUCAAAUGUGUGGCAUUCACGUCUUUGUCAUGUUAACUUUGGUUGCAUGUCGCGACUAGCGAAGUUGAACUUAAUCCCUAGUUUCACCACUGUCAAGGGAUCUAAGUGUCAAGUGUGUGUGCAAGCUAAGCAACCUCGUAAGUCUCACGUGACUGCGGAGACGAGAAAUCUUGCACCACUAGAACUUAUACAUUCAGAUCCAUGUGAAAUGAAUGGUGUUUUGACAAAAGGUGGAAAGAAAUAUUUCAUGACGUUAAUUGAUGACUCCACUAGAUAUUGCCGUGUGUAUCUUCUGAAAUCUAAGGAUGAGGCUUUGAACUUCUUCAAGAUCUAUAAAGCUGAAGUGGAAAACCAACUUGAUCGAAAAAUCAAGAGGCUUAGGUCCGACCGUGGUGGAGAGUAUUUUUUCAAUGAAUUUGAUGCUUUUUGUGCGGAACAUGGUAUAAUCCAUGAGAGGACGCCUCCCUACUCACCUCAAUCAAAUGGGGUGGCCGAAAGAAAGAACCAUACUCUAACUGAUUUGGUUAACGCCAUGUUAGAUACAGCGGGUCUCUCCAAGGCAUGGUGGGGGGAGGCGAUAUUGACUGCAUGUCAUGUCCUAAACCGAGUUCCCACAAAGAACAAAGAGAUAACUCCAUUCGAGGAAUAGGAGAAGAAAAGGUUAAAUCUCUCUUAUCUACGAACCUGGGGUUGUUUGACGAAAGUCAAUGUGCCAAUUCCAAAGAAGCGGAAGCUGGGACCAAAAACUAUGGAUUGUGUUUUCCUGGGAUAUGCUUUUCAUAGCAUUGGCUAUAGAUUCUUGGUUGUAAAAUCUGAGGUACCUGACAUGCAUGUCGGUACGAUCAUGGAGUCGAAUGAUGCGACUUUCUUUGAAGAUAUCUUUCCCAUGAAGGAUAUGGCUACCUCAUCUAAUCAGGAGAUGCCUAGUUCAUCGAAUCAGGAACCAGUUACAAUUACCGAACCUGCCAUUUCGAUGGAACACUUUGAAAGUCCUGUGGAGGGAAACAAUGAAGUUCCUACUAGGAGCAAGAGACAGAGGACUGUAAAGUCCUUUGGUGAUGAUUUUCUUGUGUAUCUCAUAGAUGACACUCCCAGUUCUAUUUCGGAGGCCUAUGCAUUGGAAGAUCUGACUACUGGAAGGAAGCGGUUCGUAGCGAGAUGGAUUCCAUCUUGGCGAAUGAAACUUGGAAGAUAACUUAUCGUCCUUAUGGGUGCAAACCUAUAGGAUGCAAAUGGGUAUUCAAGAAGAAGCUUAGGCCUGAUGGUACUAUUGAAAAGUACAAGGCUCGGCUCGUGGCAAAGGGUUAUACCCAAAAGGAAGGUGAAGACUUCUUUGAUACUUACUCACAUGUGGCUCGACUGACCACUAUUCGAGUUCUACUUUCACUAGCUGCCUCACAUGGUCUUUUCGUUCAUCAAAUGGAUGUUCAGACUGCUUUCCUAAAUGGAUAGUUGAAUGAGGAAAUUUAUAUGGAACAACCAGAUGGGUUUGUAAUAGAUGGUCAGGAAGGGAAAAUGUGCAAGUUGCUGAAGUCUUUGUAUGGACUCAAGCAAGCACCCAAACAGGGGCAUGAGAAGUUCGAAAGAACUUUAACAGCUACAGGCUUUGUUGUGAACGAAGCUGACAAAUGUGUGUAUUAUUGCCAUGGUGGGGGCGAGGGAGUUAUGCUUUGCCUGUAUGUUGAUGACAUACUGAUUUUCGGAACAAAUCUGAAUGUUAUUAAGGAGGUCAAGGAUUUCCUAUCUCGCUGUUUUGAGAUGAAGGAUUUAGGAGUGGCUGAUGUCAUUCUGAACAUUAAGUUGUUGAGAGAUGAUGAUGGUGGGAUUACAUUGCUUCAAUCUCACUAUGUGGAAAAGAUCUUGAGUCGCUUUGGCUAUAGUGACUGCAAGCCCUCUCCAACACCAUAUGAUGCUAGCGUGCUGCUUCGAAAGAAUCGAAGAAUUGCUAGAGAUCAAUUGAAGUAUUCUGAGAUUAUUGGCUCACUUAUGUACUUAGCCAGUGCUACAAGACCUGACAUCUCUUUUGUUGUUAGCAAACUGAGUCGGUUUGUUUCAAAACCAGGAGAUGUACAUUGGAAAGCUCUAGAGAGAGUUUUACGUUAUUUGAAAGGCACUGCGAAUUAUGAAAUUCACUACACUGGGCACCCAAAGGUGCUUGAAGGGUAUAGUGACUCAAACUGGAUCUCAGAUGCUGAUGAGAUAAAGGUCACGAGCGGAUAUGUAUUCACUCAUGGAGGUGGCGCUGUUUCUUGGAAGUCUUGCAAGCAGACCAUCUUAACGAGGUCAACAAUGGAAGCAGAACUCACAACACUAGAUACAACUAUGGUCGAAGCAGAUUGGCUUCGUCGGCUCUUGAAUGACUUGCCGGUUGUUGAGAAACCUGUACCGGGUAUCCUUAUGAACUGCGAUAAUCAAACUGUGAUCACGAAAGUGAACAGUUCAAAGGAUAACAUGAAGUCAUCAAGACACGUUCAGAGAAGGUUAAAGUCUGUCAGGAAAAUGAAAAACUCCGAAGUUAUUGCAUUGGAUUAUAUCCAAACGUCUAAAAAUCUGGCUGAUCCUUUUACUAAGGGUCUAUCACGUAAUGUGAUAGAUAAUGCAUCGAGGGAGAUGGGUAUGAGACCCACAAUAUGAGUUGUUCACAGUGGUAACCUAUUCUUUGUGAUUGGAGAUCCCAUGAAUUAGAUGUGGAAGACAAGCUGUUGGUCAACUGUGAGGAGAGUAUCCUUACUGUUAAAAUACCACUCCAUGAAGAUGCAAUACUCUCCUAAUCUGCAUGGCAGGUUGAUGUUUAUCUUAAGGUGUUCUAAGUGGCUCUUUGAAGCAGAGAUGUUGUCCUGCAGAACAUCUUUUGAAGAACGCACCUAUAUGAGUCUGAUUGUUAAACGUCACAAUCUAUGAGAAUAGGGUUCUCUCUAGUAAAAUCAUGAAAGGUCUCGGAGUAUGACGCAUAAGCUCCACCCGCGGGGAAGACCCACGGUAGCCACGUAUCGGUCAAGGCUUUAUGUGAAGCUAGAUUCACAGAAAACUUGCAGUUCAAGGCCCAUUCCACUGUGCAAGUUGCUUACUAGUGUAGCAUAGAGUUCUAGGUGAAAGUUCAACUUAUCAGUCUCCACUGCAGUACCGGUAUAUAAAACAGUGUUUUGGAACCAAAGGCAAAUUUUGUGUGCCUCUGGGAUCUGGUGGGGGAUUGCUGGAAUUUUGUCUAUUUUGGGCCUAGCCCAAUAGCAGUUUCAGAAAUUCCUAAUAAAUCCUAGAGACCCACGUAGCCCAUUCGUGCAAGGCAAGAGGUGGAACUAAAGUUUAGUCCCACAUUGCUAGUUUAGAGGGAGUUGGACCUCUUUAUAAGGGAGGCUCCUUCCCCACUUGUAUGAGCAUGAGAACAAGAGGGACAUCCACGCGCGCUCCUCCUCCGCCGUCCACCUCGCCGCGCCACGCCGCGCCGCGGGUUGCGGGAAUGAGCCGAGCCGAUGUAAAAUUUUGCCACGCACUACGGGUAUACGAAAGGGGACGCGAAAGCUGAAACGUUUUGAUGUAGUGGAUAUUGAAUACGAACGGCGCACCUCUUCGCCUGCUGCCUGUUCGUUUCGUCUCCCUCGUUCUCUUCAGCUCCCAGCGCAGCCUCUCGCCUCCUUCUCUUGCGCCUAUAAAAGGGAGGUCGCUCCUCCCAGAGAGACGCACCAGAAUCUCUUCCUCCUCUCGCCACAAGUUCCUGAGCACUGCGCCGCUGCUACGUUCUUCCCCAUCCCGGCUUGCGGCGUGCACCGCAGGUCAGAACAGUAGGCCUCCGAAACCGCACCUUUUGAGUCAUGUACAGAGAAGGGUGAUAAGGUUUUUGGGGAGCGCUCUGCGCGACUACUGACUUCUUCGUCACGGACGCCCCGGACUCCGACGACUACUUCCCCGACGACGACUACUUCCCCGACGUCGACUACCUCCUCGACGACAUGGAGGACACCGACCCCAAGUCCAGUGCCUCUGCCCCGGCUGUUGUCCAGUACGUGUUCUUAUCUUUCUUGUUAGAAGUCCUGCAAUAGUUUCUUCUUCCAAUGUUUGCAGUAGACAUGUUACGCUCUACUUCAUAUAUGCAUCUUCACCCACUGUCUGCGCUAGAGUUGAUCGGUUCUAGCUCAUAUAUGCAGAUAUUAUUUACUUUCUCUUUUUCAAAUCACAUGGCUUGUUUUAUCACUAUUAUACUAGUCAUGCUUUAUCUAGUAUUUCUGUUAAUAAAAUCAUUCGGUAAAUUGCUCAUAUUUCCAACAAAAAGCACCUUAAGGAUCUAAAUUGGAGUUUAUCAGCACGAGACCAGCUUUAUCUCCGAAAAAGAAAAUCUAGCUUUUGAAAGCUGUAAAUUGAAAGCUAACAUAAUGUCAGGUGUCGAAAGUAAAAUGGAAUAUAAAACAAGUAUAUACAGUAAAAUAAAUCACUGUUGGGGCGCCUGUGCCCUCGCCAAUGAGGCCAUGGCCACCCUCCAUUUCGUAUGAUAUCGGUCACCGAGAAAUGCACUGAUACAGGCUUUCACAUGGCUCUACUAUGCAACGUUUUACAGGGCAAUGUACGUGCAUGCAUAGAGCAUAUGCUCCACCGACGCCCCGUUUACGACGCCCCGUUUACGCACACACUGACUGAAGCUGUGAAGCAGUGGAACCCCGGAGCGACCAACCGGGAAACCUCCCCCGCGUGCCUAUCCUCUCCAUCACAUGCGGUCACAAGCAUCCAACACCCCAUCGUCUAUAUAAGCAGCGGUAUGGAGCACCAUUCUUCUCAGAACCACACUCAGCUAAGAGAGCCAGUAGCAGGGAGUGUAGUGAGAGUAGAGUGAGCGAGAAUGGGUGGCAAAGCCGCUCUCCUGGUGGCCCUCCUGGCCGUGAGCCUGGUCCUCGAGGCCCAGGCGGGCAGCGGCUACGGCGGCGGGCACGCCCCCACCCCGACGCCGGUCGCCCCACCCCCCAAGCACGAGAAGCCACCCAAGGGGCACAAGCCCCCUCACCACCACCACCACGCCAAACCACCGGCCGCCUCCCACGGGCCGCCGACGCACGCUCCGGCGCCACCCACCUACAGUCCCCCGACGCCUAAACCUACCCCUCCGGCCCCUAAACCCACACCACCCACCUACGCCCCGAUCCCGAAGCCGCCGAAGCCAUCUCCCUCGCCUCCGGCGUACCACCCUACGCCCAAGCCUGCACCUCCCACNNNNNNNNNNNNNNNNNNNNNNNNNNNNNNNNNNNNNNNNNNNNNNNNNNNNNNNNNNNNNNNNNNNNNNNNNNNNNNNNNNNNNNNNNNNNNNNNNNNNNNNNNNNNNNNNNNNNNNNNNNNNNNNNNNNNNNNNNNNNNNNNNNNNNNNNNNNNNNNNNNNNNNNNNNNNNNNNNNNNNNNNNNNNNNNNNNNNNNNAUACAAGCCCCCGACGCCUACUCCUCCGGCGUACAAGCCCCCCACCCCGAGCCCCCCGCCUCCGCCGUACCACCACUAAGAAGAUCCACCACUCUGUCAAGCUGGGAGCCCAGGUACGUGCAAACAACAUCAGUCUACAUUCUUGCAUGGACGCACCAUUUGUUCGAAUAGCACCAACUAACUCAGAGAACGUUUUUGUUUGCAGAAUGCGGUCGAGAAGAGUUGUGCGAGCAGGCCAAGAAGAGCCACGUACGGCGUCGUUGAUCCUCCUCCGGUGUGUGUUGCUGCCGAACUAGGGCCGAUCUCUCAGGAGAUGGAAUAAUGCAGAUGGCUCCCAUUAGUUUAUCUUACCAGCUUAUCAUUUGUGUUCGUCCAGUGUUAGCGUCUGUGUUGCUAGUGUGGCAAUGUGCCCGUGUCACUGUAAAACCAUUGAUCACCACGGAAAUGGAAGUAAAAGGUGUUGUUUCCUGUUGCAUGUAACGUGAUCGCGUCUCUGUUUUGCUGCUCUUCU